rnacentral:rRNA from 1 species
GGGGAAUCUUGCGCAAUGGGCGAAAGCCUGACGCAGCAACGCCGCGUGAACGAUGAAGGCCUUCGGGCUGUAAAGUUCUGUCAGGGGGGACGAAUAAAGUGACGGUACCCCCGGAGGAAGCCCCGGCUAACUACGUGCCAGCAGCCGCGGUAACACGUAGGGGGCGAGCGUUGUCCGGAAUUACUGGGCGUAAAGGGCGUGUAGGCGGCCUAUCAAGUUGGGUGUGAAAAAUCAGGGCCUAACCCUGAUCGUGCACUCGAAACUGGUAGGCUUGAGUGCAGGAGAGGAAAGUGGAAUUCCCAGUGUAGCGGUGAAAUGCGUAGAUAUUGGGAGGAACACCAGUGGCGAAGGCGACUUUCUGGACUGUAACUGACGCUGAGGCGCGAAAGCUAGGGGAGCGAAC